GCAGCCGCCGCGGUAAUGCGUAGGUCCCGAGCGUUGUCCGGAUUUACUGGGCGUAAAGGGCGCGUAGGCGGACUGAUAAGUCAGGGGUGAAAUCCCAAGGCUCAACCUUGGAACUGCCUUUGAUAUUGUUUGUCUUAAGUUCGAGAGAGGUAAGUGGAACUGCGAGUGUAGAGGUGAAAUUCGUAGAUAUUCGCAAGAACACCAGUGGCGAAGGCGGCUUACUGGCUCGAAACUGACGCUGAGGCGCGAAAGCGUGGGGAGCAAACAAGAUUAGAUACCCCAGUAGUCCCUGUCUCUUAUAC
rnacentral:rRNA from 1 species